rnacentral:rRNA from 1 species
UACAGAGGUCCCAAGCGUUGUUCGGAUUUACUGGGCGUAAAGGGUGCGUAGGUGGCGGGGUAAGUCUGGUGUGAAAGCUCCGAGCUCAACUCGGAAAAGCAUUGGAAACUAUCCCGCUUGAGGGUCGGAGGGGAGACUGGAAUUCUCGGUGUAGCAGUGAAAUGCGUAGAUAUCGAGAGGAACACCAGUGGCGAAGGCGGGUCUCUGGGCAACUACUGACGCUGAUGAGCGAAAGCGUGGGGAGCGAACAGG